GGCUUCAAAGUUAAUUCAGACCAAAUAUUUCAUCUCAAACGCGCCCACUCCCUUCUUCUUCCCUCAGCGUUCCCUGCAUCUCGCCCGUCGCUGGUGGUUCUCGCCAGUCACCGUCGCCUCUGGGUCUCUCCCGUUGCCGGUGGUACUCCAGCAAGGGUCUGUUUCCUCGCCUCCUCACCGGUGGUCCCUUUCUCAAAAAACCACCUUCCCUGCUCGAAAAACCACCAAUGAAGUCCAUCCUUGCUCGAAAAACGAAGCUACUUUCCUCGGCCGGUGGUUCCAAGUGAUAUUGUUGCUCGCGAACCCUCUUCUCCGUCAAUCCUCGCCGCUGCAAUUGUUCAUGGGGGAAGAUUGAAGCUGCUAUUUCCUGGUAGACCUGUAUGUUGAAAAUUCCAAUUUUUAUUUGGCGUUAUCCAUUUUUGAGAAGAAUGGUACGCAACUGCAGCGAAUGCUGCUUCUACCUGUUUUAGGUAUGAGUUUAAAACAAAUCAUGGAGAAUGGAUCACUUCAAUGAAACCAAAGUUUGGGGAUAAUGUAUCCGGACGUGUUCGUACAACAAUCAAGUCAGUACCUCAGAAUGUAAAAAAGUUCUGUAUAAAGUCCUCAUAUGGGAAACCAGCUGUGAGAUUUUGGUAGCUCUGUUAGUGGGGUUGCCAAGAUAUGGAGUAUAUGUUGCAUUUUCUCCUGUAAGUGACAAUGUAGCAACUGCCUCAGCUGAUCGUACUGCAAAGUUGUGGAACACAGAUGGCACUUUAUUGAGAACAUUUGAAGGUCAUUUAGACCGCCUAGCUCGUAUUGCCUUCCAUCCAUCUGAGAAGUAUUCUUGCUUUGGAAGGCCACAUCAAACCUGUUUAUGGAGUUGAUUUCUCUCCUAAUGGCUAUCAUUUGGCCACUGGUUCUGAGGAUAACACUUGUCGGAUUUGGGACUUGAGAAAGAAAAAGUCAUUGUACAUAAUUCCUGCCCAUUCAAAGCUUAUUUCACAGGUCAAAUUUGAGCCUCAGGAGGGAUAUUAUUUGGUCACUGCUUCAUAUGAUACAACUGUUAAGGUAUGGUCAUCUCGAGACUUCAAGCUUAUCAGGACAUUGUCAGGACAUGAAGCAAGAGUUACACCCUUAGAUGUCAUAGGAGGUCUACACUCCGAGGAAUGCGCCUAUACUAGUGAGGAAAUUGAUGUGGUUCGUGAGCAACCGGCUAAGUGUUUUACCCGCAAGUAUUUACUAUUGGCUUGAGCGCGCUUGAUCGAGGUGGUUUAGUUGUUAUAGAACAAUCGUUUACAUUAAAAUGUAUGCGUACAUUGAAAUUGGAACGUAUAUUUGAAUGUAGUACGUGCACUUUGGUUUUGGGAUAUAUAUAUAUGUAUACAAAACACCAGUUAUUAUUUUUUA